rnacentral:pre_miRNA from 1 species
GGGGAAUCUGGAUCAGUGGCUAGUGCAUUGGCUUGCCAAUCUACCAGUCGCGAUUUCGAUUCCUCCCU